rnacentral:tRNA from 1 species
GAGAGUAUAACUCAGUGGUAGAGCAUGUGCUUAGCAUGCAUGAGGUCCUGGGUUCAAUUUCCCAAUACCUCCG